rnacentral:ncRNA from 1 species
CCGGUUCCGGUUCACGCCCUAUCCGUCGUACACCUGCGGCCGGGCGACCCGGCGACC